rnacentral:rRNA from 1 species
UACGAAGGGGGCUAGCGUUGCUCGGAAUCAUUGGGCGUAAAGCGCGUGUAGGCGGUUCAGUAAGUCUGCUGUGAAAGUCCAGGGCUCAACCCUGGGAUGCCGGUGGAUACUGCUGGGCUAGAGUACGGAAGAGGCGAGUGGAAUUCCCGGUGUAGCGGUGAAAUGCGCAGAUAUCGGGAGGAACACCUAUUGCGAAGGCAGCUCGCUGGGACGUUACUGACGCUGAGACGCGAAAGCGUGGGGAGCAAACAGG